UACAGAGGUCCCAAGCGUUGUUCGGAUUCACUGGGCGUAAAGGGUGCGUAGGUGGCGAGGAAAGUCUGAUGUGAAAUCUCCGGGCUUAACCCGGAAAUGGCAUUGGAAACUACCUUGCUCGAGGAUUGGAGGGGGGACUGGAAUACUUGGUGUAGCAGUGAAAUGCGUAGAUAUCAAGUGGAACACCAGUGGCGAAGGCGAGUCUCUGGACAGCAACUGACGCUGAGGCACGAAGGCCAGGGGAGCAAACGGG
rnacentral:rRNA from 1 species